AAGGAGAUCUAUUUCUUGUUAGAGGCGGUAUGAGGAGUGUUGAGUUCAAGGUCAUUGAAACCGAUCCGCCAGAGUAUUGUGUUGUCUCCCCAGACACGGAGAUUUUCUGUGAGGGUGAGCCCGUGAAAAGGGAGGAUGAGGAUAGACUGGAUGAGGUGGGCUAUGAGGAUGUUGGCGGAGUGCGUAAACAGAUGGCUCAGAUUAGAGAGUUAGUAGAGCUUCCUCUCCGACAUCCACAGCUGUUCAAAUCGAUUGGUGUGAAGCCACCCAAAGGAAUCUUGCUCUAUGGACCACCUGGCUCUGGUAAAACACUAAUUGCCCGAGCUGUUGCUAAUGAGACCGGUGCUUUCUUUUUCUGUAUCAAUGGGCCGGAGAUCAUGUCGAAAUUGGCCGGGGAAAGUGAAAGCAAUCUGAGGAAGGCUUUCGAAGAGGCGGAGAAGAACGCACCAUCCAUCAUUUUUAUUGAUGAGAUCGACUCAAUUGCACCCAAGCGGGAGAAGACGCAUGGAGAAGUUGAGAGGCGAAUUGUUUCUCAACUCUUGACGUUGAUGGAUGGACUUAAAUCCCGUGCCCAUGUUAUUGUAAUGGGGGCUACAAAUAGGCCUAACAGUAUUGACCCCGCUCUUAGAAGAUUUGGGAGGUUUGAUAGGGAAAUCGACAUUGGAGUUCCAGAUGAAGUUGGACGUCUCGAGGUCCUUCGUAUCCACACAAGAAACAUGAAGCUAUCUGAAGAUGUUGAUUUGGAAAAGAUAGGCAAAAAUACACAUGGUUAUGUUGGGGCUGAUCUUGCGGCCUUGUGCACUGAAGCCGCCCUUCAGUGCAUUAGGGAAAAAAUGGAUGUGAUCGACUUGGAGGAUGAAACAAUAGAUGCUGAAAUUCUGAACUCAAUGGCCGUGAGCAAUGAACAUUUUAACACUGCUCUCGGGACCAGCAAUCCGUCUGCACUUCGUGAAACAGUUGUUGAAGUGCCGAAUGUCAGUUGGGAGGAUAUUGGUGGGCUCGAGAAUGUCAAACGAGAAUUGCAGGAGACCGUUCAAUACCCUGUGGAGCACCCUGAGAAGUUCGAAAAGUUUGGGAUGUCUCCUUCCAAAGGAGUUCUGUUCUACGGCCCUCCCGGAUGUGGGAAGACCUUGUUGGCAAAAGCAAUUGCCAACGAGUGCCAAGCCAACUUCAUCAGUGUUAAGGGUCCUGAGCUGCUCACUAUGUGGUUCGGUGAGAGCGAGGCAAAUGUUAGGGAGAUAUUUGACAAGGCUCGAGGGUCUGCUCCUUGUGUCCUAUUUUUUGAUGAACUGGAUUCGAUUGCUACACAGAGGGGAGGCAGCAGUGGGGAUGCAGGAGGUGCUGCCGACAGGGUCUUGAACCAGCUGUUGACUGAAAUGGAUGGCAUGAAUG
rnacentral:misc_RNA from 1 species